rnacentral:rRNA from 1 species
CGGCCUACCAUGGUGGUAACGGGUAACGGGGUGUUAGGGCACGACACCGGAGAGGGAGCCUGAGAAACGGCUACCACAUCCAAGGAUGGCAGCAGGCGCGCAAAUUACCCAAUCCCGACACGGGGAGGUAGUGACAAUAAAUAACAAUACGGGGUCCUUUAGGGUUUCGUAAUUGGAAUGAGUACAAUUUAAAUCUCUUAACGAGGAACAAUUGGAGGGCAAGUCUGGUGCCAGCAGCCGCGGUAAUUCCAGCUCCAAUAGCGUAUAUUAAAGUUGUUGCAGUUAAAAAGCUCGUAGUUGAAUUUCGGGAUCAGUACGCUGGUCGUGCCUUCGGUAUGUACUGGUGUUACUGGUUCCUACCUUCUGACGAACCGUCAUGUCAUUAAUUUGGUGUGGCGGGGAAUCAGGACUGUUACUUUGAAAAAAUUAGAGUGUUUAAAGCAGGCUCGCGCUUGAAUACAUUAGCGUGGAAUAAUGAAAUAGGACGUUCGAUCCUAUUUUGUUGGUUUCUAGGAUUGACGUAAUGAUUAAUAGGGAUAGUUGGGGGCAUUAGUAUUCAAUUGUCAGAGGUGAAAUUCUUGGAUUUAUUGAAGACUAACUACUGCGAAAGCAUUUGCCAAGGAUGUUUUCAUUAAUCAAGAACGAAAGUUGGGGGAUCGAAGACGAUCAGAUACCGUCGUAGUCUUAACCAUAAACUAUGCCGACUAGGGAUCGGAUGAUGUUAAUUUUUUAAUGACUCAUUCGGCGCCUUACG